rnacentral:rRNA from 2 species
GCCUAAUACAUGCAAGUCGAGCGAACUGAUUAGAAGCUUGCUUCUAUGACGUUAGCGGCGGACGGGUGAGUAACACGUGGGCAACCUGCCUGUAAGACUGGGAUAACUUCGGGAAACCGAAGCUAAUACCGGAUAGGAUCUUCUCCUUCAUGGGAGAUGAUUGAAAGAUGGUUUCGGCUAUCACUUACAGAUGGGCCCGCGGUGCAUUAGCUAGUUGGUGAGGUAACGGCUCACCAAGGCAACGAUGCAUAGCCGACCUGAGAGGGUGAUCGGCCACACUGGGACUGAGACACGGCCCAGACUCCUACGGGAGGCAGCAGUAGGGAAUCUUCCGCAAUGGACGAAAGUCUGACGGAGCAACGCCGCGUGAGUGAUGAAGGCUUUCGGGUCGUAAAACUCUGUUGUUAGGGAAGAACAAGUACGAGAGUAACUGCUCGUACCUUGACGGUACCUAACCAGAAAGCCACGGCUAACUACGUGCCAGCAGCCGCGGUAAUACGUAGGUGGCAAGCGUUAUCCGGAAUUAUUGGGCGUAAAGCGCGCGCAGGCGGUUUCUUAAGUCUGAUGUGAAAGCCCACGGCUCAACCGUGGAGGGUCAUUGGAAACUGGGGAACUUGAGUGCAGAAGAGAAAAGCGGAAUUCCACGUGUAGCGGUGAAAUGCGUAGAGAUGUGGAGGAACACCAGUGGCGAAGGCGGCUUUUUGGUCUGUAACUGACGCUGAGGCGC